UUAUGUGUCAACCUGGCCAGGCUCAGGGAUGCCCAGAUAGCUGAUUAAACAUUACUUCUGCGCACAUCGGUGAGGAUAUUUACAAAAGAGAUAAGCAUUUGAAUCAGAAGACUGAGGAAAGAAGAUCACCCUUACCAUUGUGGGUGGACAUCAUCCAAUCUACUGAGGGUGCAAGUAGAACAAAAGGGCAGAGGAAGGGUGAAUUCGCUCUCUGCCUGAGCUGAGACAUCCAUCUUCUCCUGCCCUCGGACUCCUGGCUUUCCGGCCUUUGGCCUUGGACUGGGAUUUAUACCAUCAGCUCCUCCGUUCCCAGGCUUCCAGACUCGGAUUGAAUUACACCACCAGUUUUCCUGGGUCUCCAGCUUGCAGGUGACAGAUUGUGGGACUUCUCAGCCUCCAUAACGACAACUCAGUGGUUACUCCCUUGGUCUCAUCUCCUUCGAGGAAAGCCUGGCCAGUGAAUACCUCUUCUGUGAUCUCCAAACACCCUUUCUGCAUCUUUUCUUCAUCCCAAGACACCAGCAUCUCACCUGCAAAGUUAUUCACAGACUUAAGCUACAAGCAUCUGAGCACCAUUGUGGACCCCGGCCUCACCUGGGGAUGUGGCAAGAGCCCCAAGAAGGCAAUGAUGCUUUGAGGCAUAUGGGACCCUGGGCGCUGAGAUUUUUGGCCUCUCCAGGACGUUUCAAGUCCUAUGGAAGUAUCAGAGAACCCCCCCAUAACGAGAAACCACUGAGACCUUGGACAAGGAUAUUGGCAGCAACCACAGGAGACCCCUCCCCCCAUUUUCUGGCAUCAGUAGGCCUCCCUGGUUCUGAUGGGUCUCUGAGGUUGGAGUGUGGUAAAGUGGGUGAUGGGGGGAUACCGAACACUGAUGGAUGGCAUUUCCUACCAGUUCAGUGAAAUGUGCAGGUUGGGGUGGAAUAAGGUGGGGAGUAGAGGAAAAAUUGUAGUUGAAAUUAGUUUGUGCAAACUGUAAAAUGGGGAUAAUAAUAUUACCUCUCUCAUAGAGUUAUUAUGAGGAUUAAGUGAGAUAAACAUACAAGUAAAUAAUUUAGAGUCUGGCACAUAGUAAGUGUCCAACAGGUGUUAGCUCCUAUUAUUAUUAUGAUGAUGAUGAUUUAGCUUUUCCCUGUCUGCUGACCAAAGGUUAGCUGUUUCUGUUUUGUGUAAGUGACAUGCUGUGAAGUGACUUUGCAUGUGAGUCUUCUACUCCUCAUUUCACAUGCGUGAAACGGGCUGACAGAAGAGACCAACACAAACAGCCUCACCUUCACGGCCCCCGGCAGACGCAUUCCAGAGUUACCAGGGAGUCAUGUGAUGAAAGAUUGAAGGAUGGAGCAUCGGGGAGGACUACGUGUGAACCGUUCUCACAGAGCCAGGCUCUCUACCGUCUGCUCUGCCCCAGUGGUCCCCGGCCGCUGCCCCUCCAUGGCCUAAAGGUCACUCCCUUUAAGUUUGGGGAAACUUAAAGCUGGGGUCCUUUAUGGGCAGGUUCUGGGGCAACUGGUGGGGAGAGGCUGUGGAUCUCUGAGGUUCACAGACAGUCCCCACCCUCACACUCCUUUAUUUUCAAGUUGUUGCAUAUGUGUUAAUUACAGAAGUAAACCAAACUCACUAUAAAAACAGCCAACACCACAGUGCAUAAAGAUAAAGGCAAAAAUCCUUCUCCAGCUGCUCCCCUGCCCCAGUCCACUUCCCAGACGUCAACCCUGUGACUAGACUAGUGGAGGCCACAGGUCCUGGGGGCCCUCUCACCCCGCCUCUGUCCAGGCCUUUAAUCCUGAGUCCUGAUGUGUGAGAGCCUCCGUUCUUUACACCUGCACACCCUCUAGUGUGGGUGCUUUGCAUAGGCGAGGUGAGGACCCAGAAGUAGAGGCAGGUGGCAGGCAUGGCCCCUGUAAGUCAGGAUCUAAAUUCUUGGUCUCAACUAGGUCCACCAGACCUUGACUAGUGAGGUUGGUUUUU